ACACUAAUAACCAUCUGUGAAUACAUUAAAUAGCAGAAAGCCUUUGGACACUAAUAACAAUCUGUUCGUAUACUAUGGACAUAUAUACCCCGAAGCCCAUAAAUGACCAUGUUUACUUUAAAAUAACAUUUAUCCGUCAGGGGUUAAUUACAUUAUUUGACAAUUAACCUCAUGUAAAUAGUACUCGAUAACCAGACGAUUAUACAACCGGCCUACAGCUAUAGGCAGGUGUAUGGACCAUUGGACUAUAUAAGAUCCAGCUUUGGACUUGAAGGAGGACAGAUUGGUACAAGCUAUUGGUACCGGAGAUUCCGCCAAGGUCUUCCCCAUCGUGGGUAGGCUGGAAAUCAUGCGCUUAAUAUCCGAACGUAAUCCAUAAGGACUGAACAUUUAUAAAACUAUACGAUCACGUGCCAUUGUGAACUAUUGAACAUUCGAACAAUUGAACUUUAAAAACAGUUUGUGAACAUUUCAACAUUUGAACUUUAGUAUCUUUCUUGACUUUGUAAUUACUUAAUAAAAUAUAUUUAUUCUUAAUGACUUCGUCACAUAAGUCACGAUUUGAUGCCGUUUGACCACGAUCGACUUGGAUUGUCUAAAAUAACGCGAAGGAAUAUAAAAGGUAAGAACUCAGUUACUUUCAUUUUUCUUAAUGGACAAUCAAGAUAUUUCUAUGUCAGUACAACAAAUAGAAAUGGCUUUUCAAGGGAUGGCACACAUAUUCAGUAAAGUUUUUAAUGUUAAAGGGAGUCAGGCCGUAUUUUUAAAAUGCUUAAAAUCAGAAGUUUU
rnacentral:lncRNA from 1 species